UACGUAGGGUGCGAGCGUUGUCCGGAAUUAUUGGGCGUAAAGAGCGUGUAGGCGGCCAGGUAGGUCUGCUGUGAAAACUCGAGGCUCAACCUCGAGACGUCGGCGGAAGCCAUCUGGCUAGAGUCCGGAAGAGGAGAGUGGAAUUCCUGGUGUAGCGGUGAAAUGCGCAGAUAUCAGGAGGAACACCUAUUGCGAAGGCAGCUCGCUGGGACGUUACUGACGCUGAGACGCGAAAGCGUGGGGAGCAAACAGG
rnacentral:rRNA from 1 species